CAAAUGGCGCAAAUUGUGAAAAAAAUAAGCAUUUGCUCAUGAUCGUUUGCUUUUGUUACUUUGUAGAAUUUAAUUAAGGCGAAUACUUUUGCAACAAAAUGUAGUAUUUUAGAUUCACCGUUCAACCAUGCCAGUGAUCAAGGUACGGGGAGUCGAAAUUGAUUUCCCAUACAAGCCUUACGACUGCCAAGUAAACUACAUGAGCAAAGUUAUUGAAUGUUUGCAAGAGGGUAAAAAUGGUAUCUUAGAAUCACCAACAGGAACUGGAAAGACAUUAUGUUUACUUUGUGCAACACUGGCCUGGAGAGACACAUUUGUGGCUCGCUUGCAAUUGAGUAUGAAGGUUCAAGAAAAUAAAGCAAGUGGCCAGUUUUGUGAUGAUUUAGAAAGAAACCUUGGGCAAGCUGCUGAUGGCUGGAUGUCAGAAGAAAGUGAAGAACUCAUUCACAACUUACACAAGUCGUAAAUGAACUGAAGAGUACAGUUUACAAACCGAAAGUAUGCGUGCUAGGAUCACGUGACCAGCUGUGCAUUCAUCCCCAGGUUCCUGAACAAGAAACACACACGGCCAAGGCA